GGGGCUCGAACUCACAGACUGCGAGAUCAUGACCUGAGCGGAAUUCAGACACUUAACCGACUGAGCCACCCAGGCACCCCAACGAUGACAAUCAUUAAAAAAAAAAAAGACUAACAGCCUCUAUCCUUACAGAUGGAACCUGAUGCUCCAUACCUAAAAAAUCAUUGUCUUGCCAUUGCAGUGGAAGAUCAGUGGUUGCCUGAUGCCACUCUAAGGGUCUGAAAACAGAUGCCAUUCUUGGAUGAUUAAAUCAAACAACCCUGAUAUCUACAUGGCCAGGACUAUACUAUGGACAAUGCUCAGAAAUCUGUGUUGUAUCAGUUUUAUACCAUUGUUGUCAAUUGUUCUUGAAUUAGUUUCACUAAAAUAUUUUGAAAAAUG